AGUUAAAAUUGUAUAUGUGCGGGUGUAAAAAGUUAAGCUUAAGCUUACAGGUUUAAACCUUGCUGGUACAGCUGUAAAAAAAUAAGACAGAGUAGCACCUUGGCAGUAGGGACUCCAUUUUGGAGCACUUGAGACUGCAUUCUGGGAAAGCACCCCCCCACCGUGAGACUCUGGUCUGAAACUAUGAUCUCAAAUAGUCGGACAAUAGCAGUGCACUACAUCACCCUUGGCAACACACAAAAACCCCCUAGCAUGAUUGCUCAAGCUUAAAAGUAGAAAGGUUGCACCUGGGUUACCUGGGCUAAUAAUGAAGAUGUGAUUUGUCUGUGUCUUACAUUAAUGUCAAGUCCUAAUUGCUGAUUGUAAUAUUGUAACUGGUAUUGUCAAGAUUAUGAUAAAUAUUAAUUUCACUUAGGUUUUAGGUUAUGUUGACCCCAGUAACCAUAUACUCUCUUUUGAUUUUAUGUACUCUCUUUUGAUUUUAGCAACUGUGUAUAGCAACCGUGCAUAGCAACCAUGUAUUCCCCCCUUCCCGGUUUUGCGGUUUUUGCCUUUGUAAACCCUAACCUUUGGUUAUUCGGGGCUGCUCUGUUCAUGUAUGGUCAGACAGCCCCAGCAUGCUGGAUAAUCAAUAAAGCUUCCCCUUGCUGUUUGCAUAAGAGAUGUCUCUUGGUGACGUUUUUCGGGCAGUCGACUCUAACAUUUGGAGGCCCCAGCGAGAUCUGACUGCUGCCUGUGGACGUCUCCAAUGGAUAUCUCUCGGGAAGGGAAGUUACUACUAUUCUGCAGGACUCUCCACUGUGACGUACGGUUUGAUCCCCAGACCUUAUGUAAGGGAUGACUGACCUUUUCUGUAAUAAUGCCUGGCCACAGUAUAGGGCCCCAAACAACAUAACAAAAGAAAAAAAGGGGGGGGGGUUAAACUACUAGAUCAAUUUUUCAGUGUACGUGUUAAAUGGGCAGAACUCCCCUUUUAAACCAAACUAAAAAAUAGAUAAAAAGUUAAACUGACGACCUCAAAGUAUACAAACAGGUCACCACAGUUGAUCUUACCUAAAGGGUCAUAGUUCUCCUCAUGGGCACGGUCUUAAGUGUCAGAAUUUGCCCAUGACCAUAAUUUUUCUAGCUCACCCUGAUAUUAAAAAAUCUCCAAAAAUCAGGGUUGGGUUGGGCACCCCCUUGACUUGCAUCAUAGAGGCUGCCUCCAUGGUCCACUUUAUUAGAGACCAGUGGAAUGAGGAGCAAGCUAGCAGCAGGAGCAAUGUAUGGAUGGGCAACAGGCCAAUCAAUGGCUGCUUUACACGGUGAUCUGCCGUCAAGGAGACCCAGCAAGGCCAGUGCACCCCAAACCUGUGCACCUGUUGCUGAUAUAAGGAGCCAGGGCAUUGGGCAAGCAGCUGUCGUAACAGCAAAUGCCUUCUGUCGGCCCUGCCAAGAGCACAGCCACUGGACACGGAACUGCCCUGGGUGUCGAAGGACUCCUGGUUCAGAACUACAGACCCUGUGGCCCCGAGCUAAAAAGCCUUUGGCUCUGCCCAGCCUCUGCCCAGCUUCCAAUUCCAGCCACUGCUACUGGGGAUGGCUUAGGGUCAGUAAAACGUAAGUUGCCUAUUUCUAUCAGCCUCCUAUUUAACUCUCCUAGUCCAGCCAUGUAAUGCGAGUCAACAGGGUGCCUCCCUUAAAGGAGAUUUGCAUCUCUUACAAUUUUCUUAACAGCACCCCAUGGAUAGGUCUGGGCCACACACACCCUGCCAGGCCUUAAAAGUCUAUCCAAUAGUCCAGGGGGAAGUGGUCCCCUCCACUCCUGUACUGAAACUAUAGAUGCUUCUCUUUACACCGUGUGUUUUUAAUGCCCUUAUUUGUUUUGUCUCUAACAGACUAAAAGCUGUUAACUCCAAAUGGUCAUCAGACAAGGCUUCCAGCCCAUUCCACUGGACUACCUGAGCAGCCCUCUGGACCAAGCAGUACAGUCUCUCCAAGGCCACUGUUGCACACCAUAAGACAGGUAGCAAGAGGAAAUACCCAAAUCCCCCUCGACGCCCACCUGCCAGCUUCGAAGAAGUUACAGAAGACGGAACUCCAUCCAUAAUCCCAAAGAAGAAUUUUGGGUAUUACCUCUUGAGGAAAAAAUAUUAGGCAGAAAGUUAGUUAUGAGCUUAUGUGUGUGUGACAUAAAGGCCUAAUGUGUCCACCAUAUGCAUCUGCAUCUCAGUCAUCCUGACAAUGUUUCAUGGACAGCCCGGCCUUUGCAUCCUGCCCUGCCCCCUUCUACCUGAUAACCUGCCAGGUGGAGAUCCCCGCCCCUUCUGCCUGACAAAUCUUCCACAGUCUCCCAGAUGUAGCCCAGUAUCUGCAUUUCAGUAUUACAGAACAGGCGGGGGUUGGAUCUCAUUUUCAUGAGGGGGGGUGUGUGUUAUGCGCAGCCCUAAAGGAAAAAUGUUGUUUUUAUGCUGACUAAACCCAGGUGGAAACUUCAUGGCCAAACUCAGAAAACGACUGGAAAAAUGGCAACAGGAGAGGGAAACUCAACAGGGAUGGUUUGAGUCAUGGUUCGGCCAGUCCCCAUGGCUUACUACUCUACUGUCAGCCCUAACAGGACCCUUAAUUGUUCUACUCCUAAUUGUAACCAUAGGACCUUGUGUGUUAAAUAGACUCAUCACCUUCGUGCGGGAACAAGUUAAAAAUGUUAAACUCAUAAUCAUAAGACAACAAUAUGUCACAUUAAAAGAUACAAAAACAAAUCUCUAAGAUUAGAGAUCCUCACAACAAGGAGUGGGGAAUGAAGAGUUAAAAUUGUAUAUGUGCGGGUGUAAAAAGUUAAGCUUAAGCUUACAGGUUUAAACCUUGCUGGUACAGCUGUAAAAAAAUAAGACAGAGUAGCACCUUGGCAGUAGGGACUCCAUUUUGGAGCACUUGAGACUGCAUUCUGGGAAAGCACCCCCCCACCGUGAGACUCUGGUCUGAAACUAUGAUCUCAAAUAGUCGGACAAUAGCAGUGCACUACAUCACCCUUGGCAACACACAAAAACCCCCUAGCAUGAUUGCUCAAGCUUAAAAGUAGAAAGGUUGCACCUGGGUUACCUGGGCUAAUAAUGAAGAUGUGAUUUGUCUGUGUCUUACAUUAAUGUCAAGUCCUAAUUGCUGAUUGUAAUAUUGUAACUGGUAUUGUCAAGAUUAUGAUAAAUAUUAAUUUCACUUAGGUUUUAGGUUAUGUUGACCCCAGUAACCAUAUACUCUCUUUUGAUUUUAUGUACUCUCUUUUGAUUUUAGCAACUGUGUAUAGCAACCGUGCAUAGCAACCAUGUAUUCCCCCCUUCCCGGUUUUGCGGUUUUUGCCUUUAUAAACCCUAACCUUUGGUUAUUCGGGGCUGCUCUGUUCAUGUAUGGUCAGACAGCCCCAGCAUGCUGGAUAAUCAAUAAAGCUUCCCCUUGCUGUUUGCAUAAG